rnacentral:tRNA from 1 species
AAAAAUAUAGUUUAAAAAAAACAUUAUAAUUUCAUUAUAAAAAUUUUAUUCUUUAAAUAUUUUUA